rnacentral:misc_RNA from 1 species
GUAUUGUCUUUCUCAAACCCAAAUCACAGGCUACUGCUUAUCAGGCAAAUACUCCUUUGUUAUAUACCCCUCGCCAAACCAAUCCCAUAAUAUCCAAACCAAAUCUAGUUUCCUAGUCAUGUAUGUUGUUUGUGUUUUUGCCCAAGGAAAGGGAAAGAGAGAGAGCACCGAAGCGCCCCCCCCAAAACCCAGCCCAAGGGCGUUUGUGUUUUCUGCAAUGAUCCCUCCGCAGGUUCACCUACGGAGA